rnacentral:misc_RNA from 1 species
AAGUCGUAACAAGGUAACCGUAGGUGAACCUGCGGUUGGAUCAUUAAUAAAUUUAUAAAAGGCAUUGUGUUUGAAAGAACCAUUGCUCUUUUUAACAAAUUUGUGAACUUUUAAAAGUCUUUUGGGGUAUGUCGUAAGGCUUACCCCAACCCUUUAAACAAUUGCCAUUGAUUUCUAACUUGUCUUGAAUUUAAAAUAUUAAUUUAAAAACAACUUUUGACAACGGAUCUCUUGGCUCUC